AAAGCGCCAGAGUGGCGUGGUAUACGUUACUUUUCUCAGCGCUGAUCAGGAUGGACCAAUCACAGUAGACUGUGAUCACUAAAUAUGAAAAGAGGUGCAAAAACCGUCAUUUUAUUUUUUAGAUUGCUGUGGCUGAUUUCUGUCUGUAAAUAAGCAGGCAGCAUGCGAUAACCACCAGCAGGACGGCGAUGGCGAGGCCCAGGAUGAUGGCGAUCACGAUGGCAGCUGAACAGAGACACGACAGUCACGUUACAUCAAUGCAUCUGGAUACAUCAGCAGAGUCAAAGAAAGGACCAAAAUGGACACCUCGUCCGAUCCUGUCUGACCAGCCUCAUCUGUGACCGUGAGUCUGAACUUAUACAUCCCCGGAGAAA